UGUGCUCCUUAACGUCAUUCUGUGGA
rnacentral:piRNA from 1 species